rnacentral:rRNA from 1 species
UGAGGAAUAUUGGUCAAUGGACGCAAGUCUGAACCAGCCAAGUAGCGUGCAGGAUGACGGCCCUAUGGGUUGUAAACUGCUUUUAUAUGGGGAUAAAGUGGGGAACGUGGUCCCUUUUGCAGGUACCAUAUGAAUAAGGACCGGCUAAUUCCGUGCUAGCAGCCGCGGUAAUACGGAAGGUUCGGGCGUUAUCCGGAUUUAUUGGGUUUAAAGGGAGCGUAGGCCGUUUGGUAAGCGUGUUGUGAAAUGUAGGAGCUCAACUUCUAGAUUGCAGCGCGAACUGUCAGACUUGAGUGCGCACAACGUAGGCGGAAUUCAUGGUGUAGCGGUGAAAUGCUUAGAUAUCAUGAAGAACUCCGAUUGCGAAGGCAGCUUACGGGAGCGCAACUGACGCUGAAGCUCGAAGGUGCGGGUAUCGAACAGG